rnacentral:rRNA from 1 species
UACGUAGGGUGCAAGCGUUGCUCGGAAUCAUUGGGCGUAAAGAGCGUGUAGGUGGCUAGAUAAGUCGGAUGUGAAAUCCCUCGGCUCAACCGAGGAAGUGCAUUCGAAACUAUCUAGCUCGAGGAUGGCAGAGGAAGGUGGAAUUCCUAGUGUAGAGGUGAAAUUCGUAGAUAUUAGGAGGAAUACCGGUGGCGAAGGCGGCUCACUGGACCGGAACUGACGCUGAGGUGCGAAAGCGUGGGGAGCAAACAGG